rnacentral:rRNA from 1 species
ACGGGGAAGCAAGACAACAGGGAUUGCCCCAGUAACGGCGAGUGAAGCGGCAACAGCUCAAAUUUGAAAUCUGGCCCCCAGGGCCCGAGUUGUAAUUUGCAGAGGAUGCUUUUGGCGACGCGCCUUCCGAGUUCCCUGGAACGGGACGCCAUAGAGGGUGAGAGCCCCGUCUGGUUGGACGCCGAGCCUCUGUAAAGCUCCUUCGACGAGUCGAGUAGUUUGGGAAUGCUGCUCUAAAUGGGAGGUAUAUGUCUUCUAAAGCUAAAUACCGGCCAGAGACCGAUAGCGCACAAGUAGAGUGAUCGAAAGAUGAAAAGCACUUUGAAAAGAGGGUUAAAUAGUACGUGAAAUUGUUGAAAGGGAAGCGCUCACGACCAGACUUGAGCCCGGUGAAUCAUCCAGCGUUCUCGCUGGUGCACUUCGCCGGGCCCAGGCCAGCAUCGGUUCGCCGCGGGGGAGAAAGGCGUCGGGAACGUGGCUCCCUCGGGAGUGUUAUAGCCCGUCGCACAAUACCCUGGGGCGGACCGAGGUUCGCGCAUCUGCAAGGAUGCUGGCGUAAUGGUCGUCAGCGACCCGUCUUGAAACACGGACCAAGGAGUCGUCUUCGUAUGCGAGUGUUCGGGUGUAAAACCCCUACGCGUAAUGAAAGUGAACGCAGGUGAGAGCUUCGGCGCAUCAUCGACCGAUCCUGAUGUUCUCGGAUGGAUUUGAGUAAGAGCAUACGGGGCCGGACCCGAAAGAAGGUGAACUAUGCCUGUGUAGGGUGAAGCCAGAGGAAACUCUGGUGGAGGCUCGCAGCGGUUCUGACGUGCAAAUCGAUCGUCAAACAUGGGCAUGGGGGCGAAAGACUAAUCGAACCUUCUAGUAGCUGGUUUCCGCCGAGCUUCCCCUCCCCCAAGAAAGGAAACC